rnacentral:piRNA from 1 species
UCCGAUUCACAAAGAGACUUGAGGACCA